rnacentral:misc_RNA from 1 species
AACGGUCUAUACCUGCGGUACCUGCGGAAGGAUCAUUACCGAGUACUCCUGCUCUUGCAGGAACUCCCAUCCUUGAUUACUUGGCGUUGCUUCGGCGAGACGUUGGAAACAGCCAUUGACGUUGAACUCGACGUCGGUGCGUGCUUGCCGGAGUCCAAACUCUUGAACUUUGUUUGGUCAGAGAAACAAGCAAAUAAAUAAAAACUUUUAGCAACGGAUCUCUAGAUCGGAAGAGCACAC